rfam:Ricinus communis cultivar Hale ctg_1100012362431, whole genome shotgun sequence.
AAUCCAUGGUGUGGGCAUUGCAAUAAAAGUGAUUUGAAGUGAUCCCAUGCUCCAUGAAAAGAUUCAACAUCCUUUUGAUAAAAGUUAGAAAUUUCAGCCCUUAAUUAU